rnacentral:rRNA from 1 species
UACAGAGGUCUCAAGCGUUGUUCGGAUUCAUUGGGCGUAAAGGGUGCGUAGGCGGCGCGGUAAGUCGGGUGUGAAAUCUCGGGGCUUAACUCCGAAACUGCAUUCGAUACUGCCGUGCUUGAGGACUGGAGAGGAGACUGGAAUUUACGGUGUAGCGGUGAAAUGCGCAGAUAUCAGGAGGAACACCGGUGGCGAAGGCGGGUCUCUGGGCCGAAAUUGACGCUGAGGAGCGAAAGCGUGGGGAGCAAACAGG